UACGUAGGGUCCGAGCGUUGUCCGGAAUUACUGGGCGUAAAGAGCUCGUAGGUGGUUUGUCGCGUUGUUCGUGAAAACUCACAGCUUAACUGUGGGCGUGCGGGCGAUACGGGCAGACUGGAGUACUGCAGGGGAGACUGGAAUUCCUGGUGUAGCGGUGGAAUGCGCAGAUAUCAGGAGGAACACCGGUGGCGAAGGCGGGUCUCUGGGCAGUAACUGACGCUGGAGGAGCGAAAAGCGUGGGGAGCGAACAGG
rnacentral:rRNA from 1 species